CCGGAGAUGGCGGAGCGGUCAAUCGCACCUGACUGUAAAUCAGGCGUCCCAGGACUACGGAGGUUCAAAUCCUUCUCUCCGGA
rnacentral:tRNA from 1 species